rnacentral:lncRNA from 1 species
GCAAACUCAGGGUCUUCUAAAUCUCAGACCCUUCAUUUUUGCAAGAGGAGGUGGGAGGGUUAUUGUGAGAAUCAAAUGUGCUUAAAGCACUCAGGAUCUGAAACACCAGGAGGUUGUGCAUCAAGCCUCCUUUAUGUACAGGAGAAGACCUGGGAGCUCAGGACUCCUGGGCACUUGGCACCCUCUGAGAAUGUCAAGUGAGACCCAGUGAAAUGCUCUCCCUUCACAGUUACCACUGAGCUACCCAGCCACCCUGCGGUUGUCCUGGCAUGGAGUCAAAGCUGUAGGCUGGCUACCUGAGAGUAUACAACAGCAUGGAUGGAAUGCAGGCUCAGCUGAGAAUCAGAUUUUUUGACUUCCCCAUCCUCAACAGGCCUUGGAAGUCAGGUUGUCCAGACGGCGUCUGUAAUUGAAUUUCAUCAUAUUUAUUCAGCUUUUUAUUUGAAAAAAAAUUAUACUUCUCAAGAUGAUAAGAGAAGCCUGUUUGAGCCAGCUGGCCACAUUAGGAAAUUAUAUUUGCCGUCCAUUACUUGUGGAUAUCCGUUUCUUUGGUUAUUCAUUCUAUAGGAGCUGUGCGUGUCAUUUAUCUCAGCCACUGCCCUCUGGAUACUUCAACAGCGGGCAUUGCCAAAAUUUGUAUAAUUUUUUUAACCCUAGGAUCAUGGGUUGGGAAACUCCAUCCUUGCUUUAAUUCCCUGUAGUUAUAAUCACUGGACAAAACAGAUGCCUGCCCUUUCACGUUCCUUCCCACACAAUGCAACUGUAUCUACAGCCGAGACACUUCCCUGCCUCCCACAGUCUCCCUGUCAUGUAGAGCUCAGGCUUCAGCUGGACCUGGGACUGCCUGUCUCUUAGUGAGAUUUUCCAAGUAGAGCUUGAGGGUCACAUAGAGGAAAUAUAGCUUGGCGUGGACUCACGGCCGUCAGAAGAUCCCCGUGUUCACGAACCCCAUUCUGUUCUAUUUCUAACACUGUGUGCUAAGAAGUACUCCGAUAUCUUAAACAAGAGGUUUGUAGAACUUAAGUAGGGCUAAGGAGCCCGAAUCAACUUUUGAGAGAAGCUUGAGGGUUGGAGAGAGGCAGGAACUAGAAGAAGAGAAGCUGGCCAGACCAGCAGCUUCACCAUUAACCUCAGGGUGCAGGAAGGUGAUAAACUGACAGUCGCAGGGACCUGACGUCCCACAAAGGCAGGACAGAAGUCACCCGUUGUUUCUUUCCUUAUACUGAUCAAUGACUUUUAAAAAUCAUUUGGCUUCUUAUGUAUUGUUAUUAUUGUUGUUAUGUGUAUAUGUGUUUUGCCUGCAUGUAUG